AGGUCCCGCCUGCCCUGUGAUUUUUUUAACGGCCGCGGUAUCUUGACCGUGCGAAGGUAGCGUAAUCACUUGUCUUUUAAUUGAAGUCCCGUAUGAAAGGCAUUACGAGAGUUUAUCUGUCUCUAUUUUCCAAUCAAUGAAAUUGAUCUUCUCGUGCAGAGACGAGAAUAAAACCAUAAGACGAGAAGACCCUAUGGAGCUUCAAACACUUAAGUUAAGUUUUUAAAAUACUAAAUCUCCCCCGGGUAUAAACAUAAAUUAACCCCUAACUUAACUUGUUUUCGGUUGGGGCGACCAAGGGGAAAAACAAAACCCCCUUAUCGAAUGUGUGAGAUAUCACUCAAAAAUUAGAAUUACAAUUCUAAUUAAUAGAAAAUCUAACGAACAAUGACCCAGGAACCUUCCUGAUCAAUGAACCAAGUUACCCUAGGGAUAACAGCGCAAUCCUUUCCUAGAGCCCCCAUCGCCGAAAGGGUUUACGACCUCGAUGUUGGAUCAGGACAUCCUAAUGGUGUAGCCGCUAUUAA
rnacentral:rRNA from 1 species